UACGUAGGGUCCGAGCGUUGUCCGGAAUUAUUGGGCGUAAAGAGCUCGUAGGCGGUUUGUCGCGUCUGCUGUGAAAUCCCGAGGCUCAACCUCGGGUCUGCAGUGGGUACGGGCAGACUGGAGUGCGGUAGGGGAGAAUGGAAUUCCUGGUGUAGCGGUGGAAUGCGCAGAUAUCAGGAGGAACACCGAUGGCGAAGGCGGAUCUCUGGGCCAUUACUGACGCUGAGGAGCGAAAGCGUGGGGAGCGAACAGG
rnacentral:rRNA from 1 species